GGGCCAGUAGCUUAGUUGGUAGAGCGCCGCCCUUGCACGGCGGAGGUCAGGAGUUCGAAUCUCCUCUGGUCCACAA
rnacentral:tRNA from 4 species